rnacentral:rRNA from 1 species
CCUACGGGGGGCUGCAGUGAGGAAUAUUGGUCAAUGGGCGCGAGCCUGAACCAGCCAAGUCGCGUGAGGGAAGACGGCCCUACGGGUUGUAAACCUCUUUUGCCGGGGAGCAACGGGCGCCACGUGUGGCGCCACUGAGAGUACCCGGAGAAAAAGCAUCGGCUAACUCCGAUCCAGCCGCCGCGGUAAUACGGAGGAUGCGAGCGUUAUCCGGAUUUAUUGGGUUGAAAGGGUGCGUAGGAGGAGCGUUAAGUCAGUGGUCAAAUUGAGGGGCCCAACCCCUUCCCGCCAGUGAAACUGGCGCUCUUGAGGGGAAGAGAAGUAUGCGGAAUGCGGGGUGUAGCGGGGAAAUGCAUAGAUAUCACGCAGAACCCCGAUUGCGAAGGCAGCAUGCCGGCUUCCUACUGACGCUGAAGCACGAAAGCGUGGGGAUCGAACAGGAUUAGAUACCCUAGUAGUC